GGCACACCCAGAGUGGGAGCCUGCGGCUUAUUUUUACAUUUCACUGGGGAACCUUUUUCCGACGUCGUGACUGGGGAGAACCCUGGAGUGACCCAACUUAAUUGCUUUGCUGGGUGGUGGUGCUUGGCCGUUGGCGUCGGUGGAAGAAUUUGUCUGGUUAAUUCCUAUAACAAACGAGACUCUCCCCUAUUAAAUAGGCUCCCAGGUUUUAAACGCCGGGAGGACCUCUUAGAGGGACAGGUGGCGGUUCAGCCGCACGAAAGAGAGCAAUAACAGGUCUGUGAUGCCCUUUGUUGUCCGGGGCCGCACGCGCGCUACACUGAAGAGAUCAGCGUGCUUUAUGUUCCUGCUCCGACCGGAGUGGGGAACCCAGUGAACCUUCUUCGUGAUUGGGAUAGAAGAUUGUAAUUAUUCUUCUUGAACGAGGAAUUCCCAGUAAAUGCGAGUCAUAAGCUCGCGUUGAUUACGUCCCUGCCCUUUGUACACACCGCCCGUCGCUACUACCGAUUGAACGAUUAG
rnacentral:rRNA from 1 species